GUUUUGUCUGGGGCUCGUCCUGCUACAUUUCUUGGUUCCCUGAACAGGAAGCGAGGUAACUGACGGACGGCCAAGGCAGCCCCUUGGGUGGCUUAGGCCUGCCCUGUGGAGCAUCCCUGCGGUGGACUCUGGCCAGCCUGAGUGACGCGAUCCAAAGAGCGCUCCCGGGUAGGAAAUUCCCCGGGUGGAACGCCUCGCCAGAGCAGCACGUAGCAGGCCCCCGAGGAGGAUUAACACACUGGCUGAACACUGGGAAGGAACUGGCACUUGGAGUCCGGACAUCUGAAACUUGCAACCCACUCUCUGUGCUAUGACUUCAUUACUCUUUCCCAGCCCAGCCCUGGGCAAGCCCCUUACGAAGUCUCAGGCUACCUGGAUGACCACCCUUUCUUAUGAUGCUGCAAGGAGGGCAGGUGGGCAGAGCCCCGUGCAUCCUGGGCUCAGGCCAGGGACCCAAGAGCUUGGGAGAAGCUGGUUCUCAGACUGAAGGCCAGAGCCCAGCACCUUGUCACCAUCCCGGGGAGCAUCAUGGCACACAACAACCAGAGCCAUGCCAGCCGCCUCACCUGGUGGGGAGAGGUGGGCCUCACCUGGGUCCCCUGGCAGUGCUCUGUGAAGGGUCUUGACAUUGCACUGUAAUAAUAAAGGUGUGUGUGAAGUAUC
rnacentral:lncRNA from 1 species